UUGUUUUUUUCUAGAACAAUAUGGAGCCACUUGAAUACGUAUAUACAUAUAUUUAUUGUGAUUUCUGAGUUGGAGCAGAAAACAGUGCAUACAUAUGAAAUAAACGUAAAGAAAAAUUAAAUGUCAUAUGUUCAUUUUGUUAAAUACACUAAUUGUUGAAAUUUACAAAAAUUUAAAGUUAUGACGAAAAUUGAUAUUCAAUUAUACAUACACUAAGAAAAGAAGAGUUCCCCAGUGUUAGUCUUAAUAGAGUCAUAAUUCCAAAAUCCGAUAGCGUAAAAUACCUCGGAUUACGUUUUGAACAUAUCAGAGCCAAGAGAACGCAACUAAAAAUUAAAACUAGAAAAAUGUAUUGGCUGCUUGGUCCAAAGUCGAAACUUAGCUUGCAACACCUAUAUUGAAACCAGUAUGGUCUUAUGGCAUUCAAAUCUGGGGUACAGCAAGUAAAUCCAACGUAGAUGUGAUUCAAAGAUAUCAGUCAAAAACACUUAGACUAAUUGCUAAUGCAAAGUGGUUUAUAAAAAAUAUAUAUCUCCACAAGGAUCUUAGAAUACCUAUGGUGACUGAUGAAAUAAAAAUAUAUAGCUCAAGUGAUUUGUGGUAAUUCUCAAUGUAUUUGGUGGAUUUUUUGCUACACUUGAGACAUUUGGGAUGAGAAAACAUGUAGAAAAGGAAAAGAAGAAAACAAUCCAAACUUCAAAAAUAAAUUAUGAGAUUUUGGUGAAUCCGGUAGUUAACGUUAUUGAGGACUUCCUAGAGCGCUC